UACGUAGGGGGCUAGCGUUGUCCGGAAUCAUUGGGCGUAAAGAGCUCGUAGGCGGUUCGGUAAGUCAGGUGUGAAAACUCCAGGCUCAACUUGGAGACGCCACCUGAUACUGUCGUGACUAGAGUCCGGUAGGGGAGCAUGGAAUUCCUGGUGUAGCGGUGAAAUGCGCAGAUAUCAGGAGGAACACCAGCGGCGAAGGCGGUGCUCUGGGCCGGAACUGACGCUGAGGAGCGAAAGCGUGGGGAGCGAACAGG
rnacentral:rRNA from 1 species